UAGGGAAUCUUCCACAAUGGACGCAAGUCUGAUGGAGCAACGCCGCGUGAGUGAAGAAGGUUUUCGGACCGUAAAGCUCUGUUGUUGGUGAAGAAGGAUAGAGGUAGUAACUGGCCUUUAUUUGACGGUAAUCAACCAGAAAGUCACGGCUAACUACGUGCCAGCAGCCGCGGUAAUACGUAGGUGGCAAGCGUUGUCCGGAUUUAUUGGGCGUAAAGCGAGCGCAGGCGGAAGAAUAAGUCUGAUGUGAAAGCCCUCGGCUUAACCGAGGAAUUGCACCGGAAACUGUUUUCUUGAGUGCAGAAGAGGAGAGUAAAACUCCAUGUGUAGCGGUGGAAUGCGUAGAUAUAUGGAAGAACACCAGUGGCGAAGGCGGCUGUCUGGUCUGCAACUGACGCUGAGGCUCGAAAGCAUGGGUAGCGAACAGGAUUAGAUACCCUGGUA
rnacentral:rRNA from 1 species